AAUCUCUCUCUCAACCCUCUCUAAACCCUUAUCAGAGCCAUUCAGAGAUUCAUCUCAGUGAUUUCAUCACAAAGAUUCAGAGCGAUUUCAUCUCAGUGAUUUCAUCGCAGAGAUUCAGAGAUUCAGAUCGGUCUCCACCAUCUGCACCAUCGUCUACAUCAUCAUCUACACCAUCGUCUCCUAAGUUAGCCCCAAUCCAAGAUUGAUCCAUAUGAGGUUAGGGCCCGUGCUAAACAGGUUGUGCAAGAUCAGCGCCGUCUGAAGGUCACUAUGUUGUAAUAUGUGGCUAUGAUGCUAUGACAGAUGAGC